UGUUUUAUUUCUUUUUAUUUCCCUCACCUCCGAGCCCUAGCCUCUCCAUGCCGAACUCCUCUUCCCCUCUCGUGCUGUCGCCACCUAUUCUCAAUCCCUUCGUCUCCCCCAACCCGAUGUCGAACCCCUCCUCCCUCUCGCUCCGAUCCCUCUCACUUCUUAGCUUCUUCAUCGCCGGCGAUCAUCGACCGUUGGAUGUCGGCUGCUGCGUGACCUUCCUCGCAGAGGGUUCAUUCCGGUUGCAUUUCUUCUCUCCGAUCAAUCCACAAGUGAUCAAUCAAAUGCCGCCAUUUCUUCUUGAUCAGAGUGUCGUCAUCAUUCGCCCCUUGUGUGAACAGAUCUUCAAUCGAAAGGGGGAGAACUUAAACCCUCUCCUGAUCUUCUCCUCACCGUCGCCUAUGCCCUAAUUUCCUCUCAUCCACCACACCUCCCGAUCGUACUCCUUCCCGGCACUCGACUCAGCGACACCGCAAUCAUCCAUCACCGCCAUCGCAGCAUGUCCCGCAACCACCACUUCAGCGUUGGUCGCUAAGGCUCGAGAGGAGCUCAUCCUCGCAUUGUCGCCGACCACCAUGGCUUGACGCCGGACACUAGCCACUGCACACUGCCUCUUCUUCGGGUCCGAUUCAUCCCUGCUAAUUUCCCCUCUUCCCUUCUCACAAUCGAGCAACGGUCGGCCACCGAACCUGAGCCCUUCUGCCCCUUUCUCACGAUUGUGUCACCAUCGGCACCUGAUCCGAAGCUCGUCCUCCACCCGCAGCUCUCCCUCACGGUGACAUUGGUUGUGUGCCACCUGAUCUUGACGAUGCCAGCCAUCCCUUGCUAAGCAGCCACUAGGAUCCAACACGUGAUCAAUCUUUUCCCUUGGGUGCUGAUGCCAUCUCUGAUGGUGUUGUGCUAGCAAAACCACUAGCCUUGCCUUCUCAUCGAGUGAUCUGUGGAGAAUCAACCUAGGCCACAGCGAGCUAGGACCUGAUUGUAUGCCAUCAUCUGAGGGUGAUCAUCAAGAUCUGAAGUGGAGAGUUCUAUCUUCCUCGUGGUUACAUUCAGAUGCCUUCAUCAAGCUACUGCAGAUCUACAGAUUGGAAUAGGGACUUUGAUUUGAGACGAGCAUCUUGACGUGGGAUUGUUUAACAUGUUCGAUAGAUAAAGGCGGGUACCUUUGACUUAUCUCUUUGAUAUUGUCAUUUUGAUAUGCGUAGUAGGUUAUAUCUAGUAGUAAUGAUUACGUUUAUAUAUGCCUUAGUAUGCCACUACUUGAUACCCGUAGUAUGCCCUUAUUAUUUUCUAUUAUGCAUUUAUGUUUAUGCCUCUUGAUUCUUGCCAUGUGUACUUAUGAUCAUAGAAGUAGUGACAUACAAUGCAUUACCGGGUAUAGGUCUAGCUACCUAGAUUUAUUAUCUGAUAUGAUACCUAGCUCAUUUUUAUGGACUCGAUUUUCCUUUUUUGUACAUAUUAUAUGGAGGUUGAUAUUUUCAAGAGUUACAUGCUUAGUGUCAUGUACCAUUGCCUGAUGCAUGUUGAGCGAUUGUCAGAUCCUUUAUAGUUGAGCAUAUCACCAGCUAUAUGAUAUGCACACACAAUCACUCAUGGGUUAGUGGUACAUCAGGUAGGGUGUGUGUAGUUUGCUCUGUCAGGCUCUGCUCGGUCGCUCAGGGGUAGUGGUGACGCAGCGUGGUAGCGAGCAGAGAUCCCUCCUCUUGACUAUGAUACAGGGAGAUGAGAGCUUCGGCUCCCCCAUUUAGUUGGGGUAGGAGGAUAGGUGUACUCCAACAGCAUCCU